GUUGAACUGUAUCAUACCAGUCUGCAUUUUCCAGACUUCCACCUUCUCUUUCCUUCAGAUUUAUCAGAGAAGUGAUCUUACCACAGAAGGGAUUAGCCAUAUUUUUCCUGCUGUUGUGCAGUCCCUCUCACUGGCAGACACCUUGUGUUACCUGAGUGCUGACAGCGCCUGUGGAAGGGCUUCAGAGUGGGCCUUGUAAAGGGAAAUUUUGGCAAAUCUCUCUGUCACUGCUGGUCCCCCGUGUACUACCCUGUAGGUGCUGCAGACCAGAGGGCAUAGCAGUGGAAGGGGGUAAUGUCUAACACACCAUAACAGCCAUGGUCGAAGCUCAUCUCUCAAAGCCCUCACUGACUUGCAGAUUGGCUUUGGUGCUCAAAACCUCCUCUGAGUUUUCCAGCUCUGCUAGCAGAUACAAUGAAAAAUACUCCCUCCUCCUACAACCCAUUGACCUGGCUGUGUCCUGAGACAUUGCAGCUACAGCAAAAUAUGCUGGAGACCUCGGUGUCUGGUUCUCUUCCAAGAGCAUUUCACCUCAGAUGCCUGGAAAACGCAUAGAUUUGAAUGAGGAGCUUAAAGGACAGUGAAACCCUCAUCACGGCAGACUCAGAGCAUCAGCUGCAGGGAGGGAGAGCAGUACAGCCCAGCUGCACAAUGAUCACACGCUGAUCUCUGCUGUGUUCUGCUGGAGAGCAUUUGCAAGUAAUUCAGAUGCUGGAGUGGCUUCUGUAUUGUAUCUUCUCAAGGGAGGAACCAGAUGAAAGAUGCACAUAUAGCCUCUGUUGUGUUCAUUGGGGUUCUUUAAGUUUGUGUUACUGAACCAUAAACCAGUUGAUCUAUACUUA